GAUGAACGCUGGCGGCGUGCCUAAUACAUGCAAGUCGAGCGGACGGACGAGAAGCUUGCUUCUCUGGUGUUAGCGGCGGAUGAGUGAGUCAUAAGUAGCUAACCUAUCUAGAAGGCUGAGAUCACUUAAGGAAAGCGGAGCUCAUAACGGAUAAUAUUGUGAACCGGAUGGUUCUAAAGUGAUAGAGCGUUUUGCUGUGAAUUAUAGAUGUAUCCGGGUUGGUUUGGCGAGUUGGUAAGGUAACGGCUUACCAAGGCACCGAUACAUAACCGGCCCGGGAAGGUGAGCAGCCACACUGGAACUGAGACACGGUCCAGACACCUACGGGAGGCAGCAGUAGGGAAUCGUGGGCGAUGGGGGAAAGCCUGACGGAGCAACGCCGCGUUAGUGAUGAAGGUCUUCGGAUUGUAAAACGCUGUUAUUAGGGAAGAACGGAUGUGUAAGUAACGGUGCACAGUUUGACGGUACCUAGUCAAAAAGCAACGGCUAACUACGUG
rnacentral:rRNA from 1 species